rnacentral:rRNA from 1 species
ACGUAUGGUGCGAGCGUUGUCCGGAAUUACUGGGCGUAAAGAGCUCGUAGGGGGUUUGUCGCGUCUGCCGUGAAAGUCCGGGGCUCAACUCCGGAUCUGCGGUGGAUACGGGCAGACUAGAGUGAUGUAGGGGAGACUGGAAUUCCUGGUGUAGCGGUGAAAUGCGCAGAUAUCAGGAGGAACACCGAUGGCGAAGGCAGGUCUCUGGGCAUUAACUGACGCUGAGGAGCGAAAGCAUGGGGAGCGAACAGG